GACGAACGCUGGCGGCGUGCUUAACACAUGCAAGUCGAACGAAGAGCGACGGAAGCUUGCUUCUAUCAAUCUUAGUGGCGAACGGGUGAGUAACGCGUAAUCAACCUGCCCUUCAGAGGGGGACAACAGUUGGAAACGACUGCUAAUACCGCAUACGAUCUAACCUCGGCAUCGAGGAUAGAUGAAAGGUGGCCUCUACAUGUAAGCUAUCACUGAAGGAGGGGAUUGCGUCUGAUUAGCUAGUUGGAGGGGUAACGGCCCACCAAGGCGAUGAUCAGUAGCCGGUCUGAGAGGAUGAACGGCCACAUUGGGACUGAGACACGGCCCAGACUCCUACGGGAGGCAGCAGUGGGGAAUCUUCCGCAAUGGACGAAAGUCUGACGGGGCAACGCCGCGUGAGUGAUGACGGCCUUCGGGUUGUAAAGCUCUGUUAAUCGGGACGAAAGGCCUUCUUGCGAAUAGUGAGAAGGAUUGACGGUACCGGAAUAGAAAGCCACGGCUAACUACGUG
rnacentral:rRNA from 1 species